UAGCUCAAUCGGUAGAGAGAGCGUGAGACUCUUAAUCUCAAGGUUGUGGGUUCGACCCCCAC
rnacentral:tRNA from 1 species